UCAUUUUCAUUUAUGCGGUCACAAAUAAAUAAAUUAUAUAGAUAAAUAUUAGAUUAAACUAUCCAAUCAUAUAUAACUAAAAUUAAAAUUUUAUAUGAAUAAUAAUUUUUUAUUUUAAAAAUAUUCUGUAUAUUUUCUCAAGCAUACAAUUAAUAGCAAGAUAGGCAAUGGCGGGCAUAUACUGUUAUUUGGUAACUUGGAAGGUUUGCGGCUUGGCUACUUAGGGUGAGAGACAGAAAAUGAAAAAGAGAGAAACAUAUUGAAAAUUUAGAGCUCUGUGAAAGAAAAAAAGAGAAGAAAAAUGUAUAAAUUUAGUGAAAUUUUGUUCUUUUAUUUAUCUAUUGGAUUUGUUUUUAUGGGCCAACAACAUUGGCCCAAUUUAACUAAACUGAGAUUAUUCACUCGGCCUAUAUAUAAUAAAAAUAUAUUCUAUUUAUAUAUUUUUUAAUAUAUAUAUAUAUAUAUAGAAUUAGGCUGGAAUACUAUUAAUAGUAAAACGCUCUUUUUGCUAUCAAGUUUUUAACCCUUUGAUGAAAAAUUGUAGGGUCAGGAUGAUAUUAGUCGGUUAGAGUUGAGUGGUCCUCCUAGGGUUGAGUGGUCCCCACUAGGUUAUAGUAUUUAAUCCAAUGGUUAGAAAUAAUGAAAAGAGUUGAUCCAAAGGCUAAAAAACUGGUAGCAACAAUGGGAUUUUGCUACUAAUAGUAGGCC
rnacentral:lncRNA from 1 species